AGUAAAUUCACAUUGGCAAUACCUACUCGUGAUCAACGAGCAGAAACCGUGGCCCGUGUUUUGGUGGAAGAGUGGUUUUAUAAGUUUGGAGUUCCGGGGCGGAUCCAUUCUGAUCAGGGCCGGAACUUCGAAUCCCAUCUCAUUCAGCAGUUAUGUAGCCUCUAUCAGGUGGGUAAGUCUCGCACCACGGCAUACCAUCCAGCCGGUAAUGGCCAGUGCGAACGGUUUAACCGGACUUUGCACAAUUUAUUGCGGACGUUGCCCACUGGGAGAAAGAGGGACUGGGCUUCUUGUUUGUCCCAGGUGAUAUUCUGCUAUAAUACAACUCCCCACCAGGCCACGGGUGAAACCCCUUACUUUUUGAUGUUUGGGCAGGAGCUGAGACUGCCGGUGGAUUUCUUGCUUGGCCGAGUGCAAGAGCCAGUGUCUGGUAGAAUCCACCAUUGGGUGGAAGAGCAUCAGGCUCGUCUCCAAGUGGCCUUUGAGGGUGCCCGAGAGCGGCUGCAAGCAGCAGCUCUAAAUCGUAAGGCCAAGUUUGAUCAAAGGGUUAGAGAGCAGCCUUUGGCGGAGGGCCAAUUGGUCUAUCUGCGAGAGCAUGGAUUCUUGGGACGACAUAAAAUCCAGGAUUUAUGGAGCUCGAUAAAAUAUCAGGUAGUUCGGGCACCCCGGGGGGGUGGGUCCGUGUAUACGGUAGCACCUGUACAUGACCUUGGUAAGCUCCGCCAUGUUCAUCGUACCUCUUUAAAACCCUGUGUUUGUGGCAGUCCGACUCUGACAGAAUCUCUGGGGGAUCAGUCUGAACGAUCAGCACCCUUGAUGAUGGAGGAUGAAUUGGAGGAUGGCGAUGUAGCGUAUGUGGUGGAAGCGCCACCAGUAAGUGAGAGGGGUGCAGAGGUGAGUAGAGCUCCUUCCGAAGGGGGAUUAACUCCUGCCUCUGGAGUCGAUAGUUUGGCUAUCAGGCCUGCAGUAGGGGUAGGUGAGAGUAGUGCAAGUAUACAUCCAGAGCCCGUAUCCGUUGCUUUGGGGAUGUCCAAUAUAUCUGGACGGGCCCCAAGACGAACUGGACGUGUAGGGGCAGGCCAGCAUUCAAACCUCUACCGCUUACCACGAGCUGUAGGGAGUGAGGCUAAUCAAAUCUGUCACGUCUACCGUGGGUGCUAACUCCGUGGUGGCCUGGUUUAGACCUUGGGAUUAGCAGAGUUGUUCAUCGUUGGGACUACGAUGACUAAUGGGGGGGUGGAUUGUAGUGAUAUGAUCAACCAUUUUUUUGGGAAAGUGGUACAUUCCACCUGUAUAAAAGGGGAUGUGAUUGACAUCCAGGUAGCAUGUCAUUUGGGGGUCACGGAUAUGACGUCAUCUUGUGUGCGCCGUGUUUAUGUCCAGCAGUGUGGCUGAGGAGAGAUUUUUUUUAGAUGCGGAUAAACUUCUAUCUCUACAAACCUCCAACUCGUACGCCAGUGAGUGCGCGGGUCGGUGUGAGUUAUUAUCUGCAGUGACACGGGGGGCCAGGAGGUGUUGCAGCAGGCUUUUGUGGUCUAUUUGAGAGUAUUUGCACGCGUUUCAUUCUCGGCACCGGAGAGCUUCUGGGCGGGGUGGACUGUCCUUCAUUGUGCCUGCUAAUUCUUUCAACUACUCUUCUGCCAUUUACUGGACGGUGAAUGUUGUGGUACUGCAUACUUUGAUCAAAUUGACCGACUUAAUUGUAGCGCACUGGGGGGUUACCGUGACAACCGGAGCCGCUAGCGUUCCCGGCCUGAAGUGACUCAUCGCCCUCAAACUAAUUUGACUUUAACUUUGUGGGGGGUAAUUACAGACGAAUCAUUAAGUGUUUGACGCAACCAUUGUGUUUAACUGCAGUUUCUCUGUCAGACUAGUUUCUUUUGAAUUGCUUUACUUAAGAUUGUAUUUUAUUUUAUUUUGUUUGUAUGCAUACUGUGACACGUCACAACCUGUUGUGUUGCCCACAGUCUGUGAGUACCAGUGAGUGAGGAUUGCCAGUGACCUGGUGUCCUUGUUUCCGUCAGGCAGCGAGUGAUAAGUGUUUCUGACAAAUAAUAACCUGAUGUGCAUAUGUGACUGUGUAUGAAUGUGGGUAUUUUGUUUCUUAUGUUGUUCUGUUUCCUUUCCCUUCAGAAUUGGGGUACCAGUCCUAGCCAGUGUCGUGUGUGUGGUGGUGGUGUGGCUGUAGGUUUGCGGUGUUCACAACGUGGGUGAUGAUGCUGUGUGGUUAGAGCACAAGUGUUUGCUGUGUUCAUUGGAUAAGUAACUUGAGUCCCCCAGUUCUGAAAUCGGAAAAUUGUUUGUCUUUCAUAUUUUUAUGAUCCAUGCCUAUCCCUUUUUUUAGUGCUUAUUAAAAUAAUAAAUUGUGUAUAUAUAAAUUAGUGAUUUUGAAUAAAUUGUUGAAUUCUG